GCUCAGUAACACGUGGACAACCUACCCUCCGGACGGGUAUAAACCCGGGAAACUGGGUAUAAUCCCCGAUAGAUCUCGGUCGCUGGAAAGCCCCGAGAUCGAAAGCUCCGGCGCCAGAGGAUGGGUCUGCGGCCUAUCAGGUAGUAGUGGGUGUAGCGUACCUACUAGCCUACGACGGGUACGGGUUGUGAGAGCAAGAGCCCGGAGAUGGAUUCUGAGACACGAAUCCAGGCCCUACGGGGUGCAGCAGGCGCGAAAACUUUACAAUGCCGGCAACGGCGAUAAGGGGACCUCGAGUGCCAGGUUACAAAUCUGGCUGUCGUGAUGCCUAAAAAGCAUUGCAUAGCAAGGGCCGGGCAAGACCGGUGCCAGCCGCCGCGGUAACACCGGCGGCUCGAGUGGUAACCGUUAUUAUUGGGUCUAAAGGGUCUGUAGCCGGCCGGAUAAGUCUCUUGAGAAAUCCAGCAGCUCAACUGUUGGGCUUUCAGGAGAUACUGUCUGGCUCGAGGCCGGGAGAGGUGAGAGGUACUUCAGGGGUAGGGGUGAAAUCUUGUAAUCCUUGAAGGACCACCAGUGGCGAAGGCGUCUCACCAGAACGGACCUGACGGCAAGGGACGAAAGCUAGGGGCACGAACCGGAUUAGAUACCCGGGUAGUCCUAGCCGUAAACGAUACUCGCUAGGUGUCGGCCACGGUGCGACCGUUGUCGGUGCCGUAGGGAAGCCGUGAAGCGAGCCACCUGGGAAGUACGGCCGCAAGGCUGAAACUUAAAGGAAUUGGCGGGGGAGCAC
rnacentral:rRNA from 1 species